AUUGAACGCUGGCGGCGUGCCUAACACAUGCAAGUCGAGCGGCAGCGCGGGAGCAAUCCUGGCGGCGAGCGGCGAACGGGUGAGUAAUGCUUCGGAAUCUGCCCAUGUAGCGGGGAAUAACCAGCCGAAAGGUUGACUAAUACCGCAUACGACCCUUUUCCGGUAAGGAAAUGGGUGAAAGCAGGGGAGUCGCAAGACCUUGCGCUAUUGGAUGAGCCGAAGUCGGAUAGCUUGUUGGUAGGGUAACGGCCUACCAAGGCGACGAUCCGUAGCUGGUCUGAGAGGACGACCAGCCACACUGGGACUGAGACACGGCCCAGACUCCUACGGGAGGCAGCAGUGGGGAAUAUUGGACAAUGGGCGCAAGCCUGAUCCAGCGAUGCCGCGUGUGUGAAGAAGGCCCUGCGGGUUGUAAAGCACUUUCAGUAGGGAAGAAAGCCGAGUGCUAAUAUCAUUCGGUCUUGACGUUACUUACAGAAGAAGCACCGGCUAACUCC
rnacentral:rRNA from 1 species